AGCCUGAUCCAGCCAUGCCGCGUGCAGGAAGACUGCCCUAUGGGUUGUAAACUGCUUUUAUACGGGAAGAAACCCAUCUACGUGUAGGUGGCUGACGGUACCGUAAGAAUAAGCAUCGGCUAACUCCGUGCCAGCAGCCGCGGUAAUACGGAGGAUGCAAGCGUUAUCCGGAAUCAUUGGGUUUAAAGGGUCCGUAGGUGGAUUGGUAAGUCAGAGGUGAAAGCCUGCAGCUCAACUGUAGAACUGCCUUUGAUACUGCUAGUCUUGAAUUAUUGUGAAGUGGUUAGAAUAUGUAGUGUAGCGGUGAAAUGCAUAGAUAUUACAUAGAAUACCAAUUGCGAAGGCAGAUCACUAACAAUAUAUUGACACUGAUGGACGAAAGCGUGGGGAGCGAACGGGAUUAGAUACCCCGGUAGUCCACGCCGUAAACGAUGGUCACUAGCUGUUCGGAUUUCGGUCUGAGUGGCUAAGCGAAAGUGAUAAGUGACCCACCUGGGGAGUACGUUCGCAAGAAUGAAACUCAAA
rnacentral:rRNA from 1 species